UACAGAGGGUGCAAGCGUUAAUCGGAUUUACUGGGCGUAAAGGGCUCGUAGGCGGCUCAGUAAGUCGGGUGUGAAACCUCCAGGCUCAACCUGGAGACGCCACUCGAUACUGCUGUGGCUAGAGUCCGGUAGGGGAGCAUGGAAUUCCUGGUGUAGCGGUGAAAUGCGCAGAUAUCAGGAGGAACACCAGUGGCGAAGGCGGUGCUCUGGGCCGGAACUGACGCUGAUGAGCGAAAGCGUGGGGAGCAAACAGG
rnacentral:rRNA from 1 species